ACCGGCGCACGGGUGAGUAACGCGUAUCCAACCUGGCCCUUAGUAGAGAAUAGCCCGGCGAAAGUCGGAUUAAUGCUCUAUGUUCUUCUUUGAUGGCAUCUGACGAGAAGCAAAGGUUUACCGCUAAGGGAUGGGGAUGCGUCUGAUUAGGUUGUUGGCGGGGUAACGGCCCACCAAGCCUUCGAUCAGUAGGGGUUCUGAGAGGAAGGUCCCCCACAUUGGUACUGAGACACGGACCAAACUCCUACGGGAGGCAGCAGUGAGGAAUAUUGGUCAAUGGGCGAGAGCCUGAACCAGCCAAGUAGCGUGCAGGAUGACUCGCCCUAGUGGGUUGUAAACUGUCUUUUAGUAGGGGGAUAAAGGUGGGGAACGUGUUCCUUUUUGUAUGUACCCUAUGAAUAAGGACCGGCUAAUUCCGUGCCAGCAGCCGC
rnacentral:rRNA from 1 species